rnacentral:rRNA from 1 species
GACGAACGCUGGCGGCGUGCUUAACACAUGCAAGUCGAGCGAUGAAGUUCCUUCGGGAAUGGAUUAGCGGCGGACGGGUGAGUAACACGUGGGUAACCUGCCUCAUAGAGGGGAAUAGCCUUCCGAAAGGAAGAUUAAUACCGCAUAAGAUUGUAGUACCGCAUGGUAUAGCAAUUAAAGGAGCAAUCCGCUAUGAGAUGGACCCGCGUCGCAUUAGCUAGUUGGUGAGGUAACGGCUCACCAAGGCGACGAUGCGUAGCCGACCUGAGAGGGUGAUCGGCCACAUUGGGACUGAGACACGGCCCAGACUCCUACGGGAGGCAGCAGUGGGGAAUAUUGCACAAUGGGGGAAACCCUGAUGCAGCAACGCCGCGUGAGUGAUGAAGGUCUUCGGAUUGUAAAACUCUGUCUUCAGGGACGAUAAUGACGGUACCUGAGGAGGAAGCCACGGCUAACUACGUGCCAGCAGCCGCCGUAACAC